rnacentral:piRNA from 1 species
UACCUCCAAACCUACAGUAAAACUGGCA